UCUUGAGGUGGGGACCACAGCCCUCAGCUGGGGACCCUAAAGACCAUGAGUUUAACUGGACCCCAAGGUGGCAGAACCGAGUGGCAGCGCUAAGCCGCCAAAGGCCAGGUGCACUAACCAAGACGACAGCAGAGGCCAACCUGGGUCAUAAGGGUCUGUGCAUAAUCACGGGGUUCCCAAAAGUGCCCAGAACUGACAGGACACCUACGAGAGAGCCAAAGACCAAGAGUCCACCUCUUUCACCUUGAGUCACACCCGCUGAAACCCUCAGCCCUGCGCCAGUCCCCAGGCCCGACCCGGGGAGAAAGGGAAGCUAGGUCCCCGAGGAAGAGGACACAGUUACUCUGGUCACCUUUGCCCUCUUCCCAGAAGGGACCCACAGCCUCUUCCCAGGUGACAGUCCACAAUCAGACCCUCAGGGACCAGUGGACCCUGGGUCUGAACCAGCACUGAUUCUGGGGAGGUCCAGAAGGUCACUGUGGCCCUCUGGUCAGAGUGCCCAGGAGGCCAGGUGAUCGUGGGGCUUAGCCAAGGUCCUGUGGGUCCCCAGGCCCGAGCAGAGCUUAGCAGAGUCCCCAUGGUGGUUCUCUGAGCUGUGUAGGAGGACUGUCGGGUGGGGAGGCCUCCGUCCCAGGAGGAAUGUGUGUGUCCAGCAACAUCGUGCUGACCCAUGGCUUUGUUCUGUCUCCUAGGAGAGUGGGUGUGGUCCAAGGAGAUGGUCGGUGUCACGUGACCAGGGCAGGCUUCUGGGCUCCUCUUGCUUGUCCGUGAGCCCAGAUGGAGAGACCCCUCUGAGCAUCCAAGGACUCGAGGGGUUUCCUGGCUCAGGGGAGACUCAUCUGCAGGAAGCCCCCACCCCCCCCUCACACGCAGGUACGCCUGGGGGCUGCUGUGACCAUCAGACCCCUGCAUCUUCAGCCUUUCCAUAUGGACUCAGCAAUGCUCCAGGGUCACUGUGCUCUUGGUCCCCUAUCCUCUGUCCAGCUUCUGGGACUGAGCAGCCCCCAGGGCCCCAUCUCUUCCUGCCUGCAGGGACACGGGGCUCUGCUACCUCUGGCCUAGAGAACCGGCCAAUAAUGCAGCCAUCCUAGGCCCGUCUGAAUGCUCCUCAGGAUGGUCCCUUGCCAAUACCUACCUCCUCGGUGCUCAUCUGACAGUGUCCAGUCUCAUUGACCCAGCCAGUAUCUGACUCCUCCCUGUGAAAACAGAGCAGCUGAGGGAGCCACGGGGAAACACCGGUGCUGCCCUGCUCUGCCUUGGCUCGUCUGUCACAAGAUGGUGAAUCUCCCCGUUCUUUGCUCUGGGCUCCCGGCCUCUCCUCAUCGUGAGCAGCGCGCUGGCCCCGUCCGAGUCCUGGCCCACCCUCCCGGUCGUGGCCCUAACCACACCCUUGUCUGCACCUCAUCAUCCUUCCCCUCUUGUCGUUUUGGUCAGAGGGGAACCUUCUCUAGCACUGCCCGACUUUGAAUAGAAGGGGACAACCCUCCUGCUGAGGGAAGGGAUUAUGAGGCAUCCAUCGGGUCGUGGAACAGAAAUCUCAACAUUCCCUAACUUCUGUGAAGACGCUGACCCACAGAGUAAGCAGGCGGCCCCACCGUCCACUCUGCCCAACCUGACAGUCCUCUCCGGUUUACUACCCACCUCCCUAUAACCUGAUUAAGGCUCAGGUUUCUACCCACAAAAUGUACUUUGCCUCCCUCCUCCUUGCUCCCCGCUCUGACUAAGCUGCCUGAGUCCCAGCCACUCUCCACUGGCCCCGCCCCGCCCCGCCCCUGCCCCUGGUUCUGCCUCACUGACCUCACAGAGGCCUAGGGCGUCAUCACAAGUCCACGCCUGUAGCAUCUUCGAAGGUUGCAUGUGGCCGCAGUCGUGAGCUCCUCUGUGCUCCCAGACCUGCACAGCUGGCUCCUCCCUCCUGUGUCCCGAGGUCCACAGCCCCAAUGCCCUGUCCUCCACAGCAGCUGGAACCUCAACCCAAGGAGGCCCUGGUCGCACAGUCUAAGCAGCCCAGCCCACAUGGCCUGAUUUUGUUUUCGUCAUGAUUCUUUGCCCGUGUUGGGAAAUAACUUCUUCAUGGUUUAGGCAGGUUGGCACCUCUCGGCAGCCGACACGGACAGGGACAGAAGCUGCAGGAGACGCACUCAAGGUGGGCUCGGGGAGCCUGCAGCCACGGGCAGGACACAGGGCAGGCUCUGUGCGGCUCCCAGGACCUCAGCUCCAGGGGUGGCAAGGAUCCUCUACAUUGUGAAUGUUUCAGGGAAGCCACCCUGGGCCUGUGUGGAGGGGAAGCUGGGCUGUGGUGGCCUUGGGAAAACUGCAGCUUUGCAUCCUGCCUGAGACGAAGCUGGACGGAGUCAGCGUGGCCAGACAUGGAGGACCCACCUGAGACUGUUACCAACAGCCAUAAAGGAGACCUGGAGGGGAAGAUCUUGGCUGUUGACUUUCUAGGAGAAGCUUGCAGUGGAUGGUUGUCCUGCUGCAAAUGUGGCUGUUCUUGCCCAAGGAGGGGCUCAGGGCCUCACUGUCACUGGGAAUGGCUGCUGUUCUUAUCGGGGGAGCUCUGAUCUUUACCA